rnacentral:sRNA from 1 species
UAUUCUGCCCCAUGGGGAAGGAUGAGAAGCUUCGACUAAGGUUCGACUCGAACGAAGCGAGAGAACGUUGCCGCAGGCAACGGCCCGAAGGGCGAGGCGCUUUAGCGCCGAGUAAUCCUUCCCCCACCACCA